rnacentral:rRNA from 1 species
UUGAGUGGCGAACGGGUGAGUAACACGUGGGCAACCUGCCCAAAAGAGGGGGAUAACACUUGGAAACAGGUGCUAAUACCGCAUAACCAUAGUUACCGCAUGGUAACUAUGUAAAAGGUGGCUAUGCUACCGCUUUUGGAUGGGCCCGCGGCGCAUUAGCUAGUUGGUGGGGUAAAGGCUUACCAAGGCGACGAUCAGUAGCCGGCCUGAGAGGGCGGACGGCCACACUGGGACUGAGACACGGCCCAGACUCCUACGGAAGGCAGCAG